rnacentral:rRNA from 1 species
AGAGUUUGAUCAUGGCUCAGGACGAACGCUGGCGGCGCGCUUAAUACAUGCAAGUCGAGCGAGAACCAUGGCUUCGACCAUGGGGACAGCGGCGAACGGGUGAGUAACACGUGGGUAAUCAACCCCCGACACCGGGAUAGCCCAGGGAAACUUGGAUUAAUACCGGAUGCCCCAUCUGGCUUUCGAGCCGGCUGGAAAAGGGUAGCUUCGGCCUCUGGUCGGGGACGAGCCCGCGGCGGAUUAGCUUGUUGGUGAGGUAAAGGCUCACCAAGGCGACGAUCCGUAGCUGGUCUGAGAGGACGAUCAGCCACACUGGGACUGAGACACGGCCCAGACUCCUACGGGAGGCAGCAGUAGGGAAUCUUGCGCAAUGGGCGAAAGCCUGACGCAGCGAUGCCGCGUGAGGGAAGAAGGCCUUCGGGUUGUAAACCUCUUUCAGGAGGGACGAAGCCACUCGGGUGAAUAGCCCAGAGGGUGACGGUACCUCCAGAAGAAGCCCCGGCUAACUACGUGCCAGCAGCCGCGGUAAUAC